AACGAGGGGGCAUGUGAUGCUCUGGAAAGGUCUGGCCACGGUGGAGGCUCCGUGGCGGCGCUUUCGACCGAAGUUGAAAAGGAUGGAUGAAACAGGUGCUAUGGCAGGGUAGAGCGUGCAGUAAGAGGCGCAAAAGAUCGCUGAGCUCUUGGCGAAGCUGCUGGGGUGCUCUGGUGGCGCGGAAAGGGAGCGGGCGAGGCGAAUUUCGUGAGCGCAUGGAGCUCGCCGGCGUUGAGCGUGAAAGAGAAAAGAGAGAUUGCAGCACGGUGUGGUCACGGGAAGAAGUGGAUGAGGACGCCAGGAGCUCGGCCACUUCACCGUGACCGCAAGCAGGCGAGCAACUGCGUGGCUGGGUGCGUGGCGGCGUCCUGAGCAGCAGUGUCUGUCGUGGCGGCAGUGCAGCCCGUGAUCCUCAUCGGUUACUGUAGCAGGCUUUAUCCAACCAGUUUUGUGGUUUUGCAAAAUUCGUCCAAAUUUUGAACUGAAGACAAAAUUC
rnacentral:lncRNA from 1 species